rnacentral:rRNA from 1 species
UACGUAGGGUGCGAGCGUUGUCCGGAAUUAUUGGGCGUAAAGAGCUUGUAGGCGGUCUGUCGCGUCUGCUGUGAAAAUCCGGGGCUCAACCCGGACUUGCAGUGGGUACGGGCAGACUAGAGUGUGGUAGGGGAGACUGGAAUUCCUGGUGUAGCGGUGAAAUGCGCAGAUAUCAGGAGGAACACCGAUGGCGAAGGCAGGUCUCUGGGCCACUACUGACGCUGAGAAGCGAAAGCAUGGGGAGCGAACAGG